GAAUCCCACAGGCCGUAAACCCAAGGUUUCCAGGGGAAGGUUCGUCCGCCCUGGGUUAGUCGGGACCUAAGCUGAGGCCGAAAGGCGUAGGUGAUGGACAACAGGUUGAUAUUCCUGUACUACCGAUAACCGUUUGAGAGAAGGGAUGACACAGUAGGAUAAGCUAAGCACACUGUUGGUUAUGUGUGCCCAAGCAUUGAGGCAGUCAAAGUAGGCAAAUCCGCUUUGAUAAUGCUGGGAUGUGAUGGGGAGCGAAAUUUAGUAGCGAAGUAGCUGAUUUCACACUGUCAAGAAAAGUCUCUAUCGAGGUUAAAGGUACCCGUACCGCAAACCGACACAGGUGGGUGAGGAGAGUAUCCUAAGGCCAGCGAGAGAACUGUUGUUAAGGAACUCGGCAAAAUGACCCCGUAACUUAGGGAUAAGGGGUGCCACCAUCAGGUGGCCGCAGAGAAUAGGCCCAAGCGACUGUUUACCAAAAACAUAGGUUUCUGCUAAGUCGCAAGACGAUGUAUAGGAGCUGACGCCUGCCCGGUGCUGGAAGGUUAAGGGGAUCUGUUAGAGCAAUCGAAGCAGUGAACUUAAGCCCCAGUAAACGGCGGCCGUAACUAUAACGGUCCUAAGGUAGCGAAAUUCCUUGUCGGGUAAGUUCCGACCCGCACGAAAGGCGUAACGAUUUGGGCACUGUCUCAACAACAGACUCGGUGAAAUUGUAAUUCCGGUGAAGAUGCCGGAUACCUGCGACAGGACGGAAAGACCCCAUGGAGCUUUACUGUAGCUUGACAUUGGGUCUUGGUACUACAUGUACAGGAUAGGUGGGAGGCUUUGAAACCAGGACGCCAGUUUUGGCGGAGCCAUCCUUGGGAUACCACCCUUGUAGUACUGGGACUCUAACCAUAGGCCAUGAAUCUGGUCUUGGGACACUGUCAGGUGGGCAGUUUGACUGGGGCGGUCGCCUCCCAAAAGGUAACGGAGGCGCUCAAAGGUUCUCUCAGUACGGUCGGAAAUCGUACGUAGAGUGUAAAGGCAAAAGAGAGCUUGAUUGCAAGACAUACAGGUCGAGCAAGGAUGAAAAUCGGACUUAGUGAUCCGGUGGUUCUGCGUGGAAGGGCCAUCGCUCAACGGAUAAAAGCUACCCUGGGGAUAACAGGCUUAUCUC
rnacentral:rRNA from 1 species